UUGUGUGUCCGAAACUCCCGCGGGAUGGCCGGUGGACAAUAUGGCGCACUAGUCAAGUGAAAACGGCCGAGGGUUAUGGCUGCGUUUGACGUUGAGACAGUUUCCUUGGAUGAUGACAUUUUAUUGUACGAGCUAAGCUGUAUUGUAUGGCUAGGGCGGAUUUGGAAGUUUUGACAAUUGCUUUGUGCUCUAUUUACGGAGACUGGAAAAGUGAAUCGAUGGAAGAGAGUGAAAAAGGAAGGUUAGGCAAGGAUUUGGUGGCAGCGUCAAGACAGGAUAAUGGAACAAAACUUCAUCCGACGUGACGACAACGAACGGCCUGUAAUUGACUACGCUAUGAAGAGUGAUUGAUUCAAAUGGAAUUGAAAUAACGAAUCUGUAAUCCAAGAAGCAAGCACGUGCCAUCGUUUCACCGUCGACUUUCUUACGAAGAUACUGUUAUUUUUUAUCGUGGCAUUAAAUUAAAAAUUUUGACAUGA